rnacentral:misc_RNA from 1 species
UCCGGCUUAUCACCGGCGGUUUCUUUAGAGUGCCCAACUGAAUGAUGGCAACUAAAGACGAGGGUUGCGCUCGUUGCGGGACUUAACCCAACAUCUCACGACACGAGCUGACGCCAACCAUGCACCACCUGUAUACCGCCCUUGCGGACCCCGUAUCUCUACGAGUUUUCGGUAUAUGUCAAGCCUUGGUAAGGUUCUUCGCGUUGCGUCGAAUUAAGCAACAUGCUCCGCUGCUUGUGCGGGCCCCCGUCAAUUCCUUUGAGUUUUAGCCUUGCGGCCGUACUCCCCAGGCGGGGCACUUAAUGCGUUAGCUACGGCACGGAGACCGUCGAUAGGUCCCCACACCUAGUGCCCAACGUUUACGGCGUGGACUAC